rnacentral:rRNA from 1 species
GGUGACGUGGAGCAAACCUCAGAAAGCCAAUCUCAGUUCGGAUUGUAGGCUGCAACUCGCCUACAUGAAGUUGGAAUCGCUAGUAAUCGCGAAUCAGAAUGUCGCGGUGAAUACGUUCCCGGGUCUUGUACACACCGCCCGUCACACCACGAGAGUUUACAACACCCGAAGUCAGUGGCCUAACCGCAAGGAGGGAGCUGCCUAAGGUGGGGUAGAUGAUUGGGGUGAAGUCGUAACAAGGUAAC